CCCUCCCCUAACAAACACCCCCACCAUGCCGCUCCGCACGCUGCUCCGGCACCUCUCGGCCGGCCAGUUCGCGCGCCUGCAGGCACUCACGGGCGCGGCCACGGCGCCGGCCGCGCACCGCGUCCUCCACCUCCUCCUCCGCACCGCGCCGGCCCCUCCCCUCCCCCACCUCGUCUCCCUCGCGCGCUGGUCCCGCUCCCACUUCCGCGCGCCUCUCCCGCUCCGGUUCCACGCGCUGCUGCUGGCCCGCCUCGCCUCCCACGGUCUCCACCCGCUGCUCCGCUCCGAGCUCCACGCCCUCGCCGCCGCCCGCCUCCACUCCCCGGCCUCCAUCCUCCGCGCCCUCCCCGCGUCUUCCCCCACCACCGCGCCGCUCAUCGCCGACAUGCUCGUCCUCGCGCUCGCCAGGGCCUCCCAGCCCUUGGCGGCGUACGAGGCCUUCCACCUCCUCGGCAACAACCACCCGCGCCACCGCCCCUCCGCUUUCUCGGUGAACAGCCUGCUCUCCGCCCUUUUCGCCGCGGGUCGGGUCGACCUCGCCGAGCGGGCUUUCAAGGCGGCGCUCCGGCGACGCGUGUCCCCGGACCUUUUGACCUUUAACAUCGUCAUCUCCGGGCUCUGCAAGGCUGGGCAACUUCGCAAGGCCGGCGAUGUCGCCAAGGACAUCAGGGCGUGGGGGUUGACCCCCUCUGUGGCCACCUUCAAUGCUCUCAUCGACGGCUACUGCAAGAAGGGUCGUGUCGGGAGGAUGUACCACGUCGAUGCGCUUUUGAAGGAGAUGGUCGAGGCUGGAAUCUCGCCCAAUGUUGUUACAUUCAAUGUGCUGGUUACUGGGUACUGCCAGGACUCGAACACUGCUGCUGCGGUGAGAGUCUUUGAGGAGAUGAAGCAGCAGGGGAUUGCGCCCAGCAUGGGGACAUACAAUGCACUUGUUUGGGGUCUCUGCAGUGAGGGCAAGGUAGAGGAAGGGGUGAAGCUGGUGGAUGAGAUGCAGGAUCUGGGGCUGGCGCCUAAUGUAGUCACCCUGAAUAGUGUGCUGAAUGGGUUUUGCAAAAAGGGCAUAAUGGUAGAUGCUGAGAAUUGGGUUGAUGGUAUGGCACAGAGGAAUGUUGAACCUAACGUGGUUACUUACAAUACCUUGAUUGAUGGAUAUCGCCGGCUCGGCAAAAUGAAGGAUGCGGCGGCGGUGAAGGAGGCGAUGGCAGGGAAGGGGAUUAGUCCAAAUGUCAGAACAUACAAUUGCCUGAUAGCUGGGUUUGACCAGAGCGGGGAUUGGAGGAGUGUUUCUGGUCUUCUCGAUGAGAUGAAGGAGAAAGGUGUUAGAGCUGAUAUUGUCACUUACAAUACACUUAUUGGUGCCCUGUGCUGCAAAGGGGAAGUACGUAGAGCUGUAAAGCUCUUGGAUGAAAUGUUGAUGGUUGACUUGGAACCAGAGCAUCGGACUUACAACAACAUAAUAAAUGGGUACUGUGAGAAGGGGAACAUUAAGUCUGCCUAUGAAAUUAGGACCAGGAUGGAGAAAGGUAGGAAACGGGCAAAUGUGGUCACAUACAAUGUGUUCAUCAAGCACCUUUGCAGAAUGGGGAAGAUGGAGGAGGCUAAUGAGCUCCUGAAUGAGAUGUUGGAGAAAGGUCUCGUUCCAAAUAAGGUUACCUAUGAAAUAAUGAAGGAGGGGAUGAUGGAGAAAGGUUACGUUCCUGAUGUAAGAGGAUUCGCUUGCUCAGAAGCCUCUCAAAAUCUGACAUCCUGAAACGCUUGGUACCUGCUGUACAGCCUUCAGCUUAUGUGUCCGCACAACUAUUCUCAAGUGACAAAUCAUGCAAUAAACCUCCUCUGCUCUUGUGAUCUGAAUGUACAAAAGCUCAGUACGUACAGUGAAGUUGGACCCUUCACUGCUGUUUGUUUACUACCGGUUUUGCAAACUGGGGUGGGCAAGGAUUCUGAUCGGAUUUCGGAGAGUGCUGGAUGGGCAGUUGCCAUUGUCAGCAACAACUACAAUAACAACAGCAAUAAAAAGGAAAGAGAAAGUAUAACUAAACAGAAAAUAGGCUUAUCUGCCAUCUGUUGGGAGGACAAGAAACAAUAUGGUUACAGACAGGGCUGCACGCAGGGUUGAAAUACAGGCGGAUAGUUUCCACAUGGUCUGGAGCCAAAUCGGGGCAAAUUGAAAUUCUGAAAGAAAAUUUACUGUUUGGUCGGAGUUAAAUCCAGAUUCAAGUAGCUAUCUGCUGGAUACGGAUAUUUCCUGGAUUUGGCCGGCAGUUUCCUGAAUUUGAAAUCCAAAGUGGCGCCUCGCCAUGAUCCACCUCCAGCAGCCUAGUGUGAAGUCGCUCUAGCGUGCCACUGCAGCUUCCUUCCGUGCUUCAACCAGGCGGACUAUGCACCGUCCAGCCAGUGGAUGCCUGUAUCGACGACCUCUUUGCGCUUAUUGCACUCGUGGAGCAGAUUGGUAGAUUGAGUGGCUCGUCGUGUCACUGCUGGUUUUAUUAGGGAGUAUGUUGCUGCAACAAUCGUGUAAUUCUUGUCAGUAAUGCUUCUCACCGUUUUCCUCCUGCUCGAGGGUUUGAAUUGGAUGGCUCAAGAAGCACUGCAGGAACAUGUGUAUUUAAUAAAGUACGAUGAUUGUUCAAGCAACAAGGAAUUACACAGGAAUAUGCAACCAUACUGCACAUCUGCUCUACUCAGGACCGUUGAUGGUCUCAGAUUGGAUGGUUUGACUGUUUCAGGGUUUGGAAUUACCUUCAGAUUGACAGGAUCCAUGGCUCUGAUGUCCAGCAAUGCAUAUAUCAAGCAAGGUCAAGGUUUGGGCAUCCUUUAUUCUUCAAGUUUAUGCUCAUGGCAGCUUGGAACAUUUGGAUAUUAAGGAAUAGAAGAACUGUCAGGGGAGAGCGUGCUUCUUUUGCUACCUGGAAAUGUAAAUUUGUACAUGAUAUUCAUCUUCUAGUGCAUAGGCCUAGAGAUAGCAUCAAACAACAGGUCUUAGCUUGGGUCAACACCCUCAUGUAAAUAUAGGUAGGUAUAAUGUAGGUUCCUUCUAACUUCUGGACUUGAGACUGACUGUUCUGCUCGUACAGUGGUUAACUCUUUUAUUUCAUUAAUAAAGGGUUGUGGUCCUUGCUCUACA